UACCAGCACCCCGAGUGGUCGGGACGAUUAUUGGGCCUAAAGCCUCCGUAGCCGGUCCUACAAGUCUUCCGUUAAAUCCACCUGCUUAACAGAUGGGCUGCGGAAGAUACUAUAAGGCUAGGAGGCGGGAGAGGCAAGCGGUACUCAGUGGGUAGGGGUAAAAUCCUCUGAUCCAUUGAAGACCACCAGUGGCGAAGGCGGCUUGCCAGAACGCGCUCGACGGUGAGGGAUGAAAGCUGGGGGAGCAAACCGG
rnacentral:rRNA from 1 species